rnacentral:sRNA from 1 species
CUGCGGUAACUUGCGUUGGACUGAUGAAAUGAAUAUGGCUGUCGAUGCCCCCAGCAGUGACGAUUUUACCCUCGGCUGAAAUCACUUCCGUUGAAAUACCAAUGGGAAAAGUGACCCCAGCCAUCACCAAAUCAUUGCCAGCUUUGCCAAUGGCAAAAAUUUUGCCAUCGCGGAUGCCAAUGUCUGCCUUAUAAAUACCGGUGUAAUCAAUUAUUAAUGCGUUGGUUAAUACCAGAUCUGGCACACCUUGAUCCCGAGUCAACAAAGGAUUCAUCCCCAUGCCUUCCCGG